AACGAACGCUGGCGGCAUGCCUAACACAUGCAAGUCGAACGAGACCUUCGGGUCUAGUGGCGCACGGGUGCGUAACGCGUGGGAACCUGCCCUUAGGUUCGGAAUAACUCCCCGAAAGGGGUGCUAAUACCGGAUAAUGUCUUAGGACCAAAGAUUUAUCGCCUUUGGAUGGGCCCGCGUUGGAUUAGCUAGUUGGUAGGGUAAAAGCCCACCAAGGCGACGAUCCAUAGCUGGUCUGAGAGGAUGAUCAGCCACACUGGGACUGAGACACGGCCCAGACUCCUACGGGAGGCAGCAGUGGGGAAUAUUGGACAAUGGGCGAAAGCCUGAUCCAGCAAUGCCGCGUGAGUGAUGAAGGCCUUAGGGUUGUAAAGCUCUUUUACCCGGGAUGAUAAUGACAGUACCGGGAGAAUAAGCUCCGGCUAACUCCGUG
rnacentral:rRNA from 1 species